AACGUGUUGAAACCCAUUGCAUUUGAUGUGAUGAUCUGUAUGUCAAAGCUAUUCGACUACUAUCUAUACGCUGUCUACAGCUUCUUUGCCAUUGACGCAAGCGAAUCUUCUGGGCGUUCUUUGGGCAGCCGCUUAAGGACGACGUUAAAACGGAUCGAGGAUAAUCUCAU